rnacentral:rRNA from 1 species
GACGAACGCUGGCGGCGUGCCAAUACAUGCAAGUCGAGCGCAGGAAACUGACGGAACUCUUCGGAGGGAAGGCAGUGGAAUGAGCGGCGGACGGGUGAGUAACACGUAAGGAACCUGCCUCAAGGAUUGGGAUAACUCCGAGAAAUCGGAGCUAAUACCGGAUAGUUCAACGGACCGCAUGGUCCGCUGAUGAAAGGCGCUCCGGCGUCACCUUGAGAUGGCCUUGCGGUGCAUUAGCUAGUUGGUGGGGUAACGGCCCACCAAGGCGACGAUGCAUAGGCGACCUGAGAGGGUGAUCGGCCACACUGGGACUGAGACACGGCCCAGACUCCUACGGGAGGCAGCAGUAGGGAAUCUUCCACAAUGGACGAAAGUCUGAUGGAGCAACGCCGCGUGAGUGAUGAAGGUUUUCGGAUCGUAAAACUCUGUUGUAAGGGAAGAACACGUACGAGAGGGAAUGCUCGUACCUUGACGGUACCUUACGAGAAAGCCACGGCUAACUACGUGCCAGCCGCCGCGGUAACAC